rnacentral:rRNA from 1 species
GCCUACGGGGGGCAGCAGUAGGGAAUAUUGCUAAAUGGGGGAAACCCUGAAGCAGCAACGCCGCGUGGAGGAUGAAGGUUUUCGGAUUGUAAACUCUUUUUGUUAGAGAAGAUAAUGACGGUAUCUAACGAAUAAGCACCGGCUAAAUCCGUGCCAGCAGCCGCGGUAAUACGGAGGGUGCGAGAGUUACUCGGAAUCACUGGGCGUAGAGAGCGCGUAGGCGGGAUAGCAAG